rnacentral:tRNA from 1 species
ACUAUUUUGGCAGAUAAGUGUAAUGAAUUUAGAAUUCAUGUAUAUAAGGAUUGAUUCUUAUAGAUAGUA